CAGCGUUCCUUCGUUCCUCCUUCAUAGGAGGAGCGUUCGUGUCGCGUUACGCGGACGCUUUGUUAACAUUGUUCUCGUCGCUGUCCACGCUGAACGAUUCUAACCUGUUGUUGGCGAUGCACACGGUGCACACAGGCUCCAGAGGAUGCAAUCCUGCUUUUCUUUCACAAAAGAAGGUGGACAUGAAAGAACGUCGAGUGGGACUGAACAAAGGAGCUCCUCAGAUAAAAACUAUCAGUUUCACACUGGACAUAGGAAUACAAAGGAUUAAUUUGUAGAAUAUUUUAUAUCUUCAGUCACUUCAGCAUACGUUUCGUUUGCAUUAAAACCAAAAAUGUAACGUGUCUGUCCUUUUCCUAUAAAACGAAAGAAACAUUUGGAACAACCUGA